ACUCCUGCAAAGAGGAAGAAAAAGAAAAAUGUUGAGAGAUCAGAGUUGAUUCUUGGUAUUCUUCUACCUGGAAAGCAAACAUUUUGUCUUGGAUCCUGCCACCUCUGAAACCAAGCACGAACCUCGCUGACUUCAAGAGGCACCAGGACAGCCCUAGAUGAAAGCCAGAGAAAAUGAUGCAGAAAAUGAAGAAAUUCUGGGGGGAAAAAAAAGGUCACUUGAACACCACAGAAUCCAUGAAAAGCUUUCAGCUAAAAUACAGGCAAACAGCCGUGCAAAUUUUUAUCUUACCCCAUCUCUUUCCUUCUUUGUAUCAAGUGGGAUGAAAAUUCUUGCUUUUUUUUUUUUACACCAUAAGAAACUACUUUAUCUUCUAAACACUGGCACACUGAGCACUCACGUGGCCAGCACAGCAGUAACAACAGCAGAGCUUUGCACCCCGGGGGCUGAGGUGAACGGGGCAGCCCAGGGUACUCCUAAGAAGAUGGAGCUAACAUGGCUUCAGGGACAGACUGGCCACAAGAGAUGCCAACGAGCCUAAGAGCAGACCCCUGGCACCAAGUAAAAACAGACACAAGGUGAAACUGAGAUCGAGAUUUCCUGCCUUUUCAAAGACAAAGCAGCUCCUGAUGAAGUGGUCAUGGAACAAGGAAGAAGAGGGUGGAAUGGGAGUGCAGAGCUACCAGCUGCACACCACAACAAGUAAUCUCCCUCCUCCAAGGCCUUGGAUAACACUAACACCCAUCUGAGGCUUGUCUCUAUUUUUCAAGGCUUUAGCAUCAUUUGUGCAGGCACCUGUCACUGUUACUCAGCAUCAUUGUGAAUUGAGGAAAUUAUUUUAAAAUGCGACCUUCAGCUUGGCGUAGCCUGGGUGGCAGAAGGAGAAAGGAGCCCCUCAGUCUAGCAAGGAGCAGUCCAAUGGGAGCCCAGUGUUACGUGACAGAGCUGUACAUGCUCUGAUGCCAAGCAAGAGGUCAGCCAUAGCCUAAAGCUGGGUAGCAUCUAGAGAAAAAUGUUUGUGAAGAAGCCGGGAAUAACCUCAACCCUCAAUUGUUAUCUUUUUAAAAUCACAGGGAAGGGCACAGGGAAGUGCCCCAAGGCACACGACUGCAUGGGUCACCUAAAGAUACCAAAGUGCGUCACUCAUCAAAAGGCUCUGGGAUGCAACUAGCUCUUACACACAUCUCAGGAGAGGGAAAGCAAAGCACAGAAGGUGCCCACGGCAGCCCAGGUGCAGAAAUGACACUGCUGCCAGCCAGCCUCUCUGCUCUGCUGGCUCCGCCCAGCUCCCACAGCUCCAGCUGACCUACAGCUGGGGCAGGACACGUCCAUGGACGAGAAGAAUAAAGACGUUUGAGGGAAAGAAGAUCAGAAGAGAAUUUUUAUGGUUGAGAUGUCUCAGGAGGGACACUGUCAGGCUAGUCUGGAUAGAUGCAAAAUGUUCUCCAGAGAAAGUGCAGAUCUAGUCAGCCCACAGAGUUCCUCAAGCCAACUGGGAUGAACGGCGCGCGGCGUUCCUGAGCAGCAGUAAGUGCGCGGCGCAGGCUAGCACAGAGGGAAGCGGUCCACCCUGUACUGUGGCUCCUGCACCCGUCCCUGCUGCUGCCCAGGGCCUCCACCGAGGGUUAAAUUUCUGCUGAGGGAUCAUGCUGUAUAGUGACGUUUUCCAGACUCCAACUCCCCUCCGGGCCAGCCUUUAUGCGUGUCACUAUUAUGAGCUGGAAUUUACAGGGCAGUAAGAAGCCUCCAGUGCCUUCCCUUCUCAUAGUCUACCUGCUCUACAUCCUCCUAUAUUUAGCCGACAGAGCUGUUACUUCAGUCCAUGCCGACAGAUGGGAAGAGGGUAUGAAUUCAGUGGAAAUAGGUUAGUCACCGGGAUUUCAAUUUUUUUAUCCUAAAAAUUGAAGAGUAGCGAGAAGGAAUUUGGGGUUGGAUUUGGAACCCGCUGUGGUGCAAAGGAAACUUUCUAAGGAAGGAAGAGCAUAUAAAAACGAGAAAUUAACACAAAUAUGUAGAGUCCUCCUGACAGGAAGGUGUUUCUGACUGUUCACAGAAUGGACAGCAAACUCCCUGCAUCCAAAGCACUUGCUCCUUUCCCAUAAAGCCUUAGUGGGCCCAAAAUUUGAUGAUUUUCCUGCCCCUCAGCUGCCAGUGGGACCUCUGGACUCUUCUCCCCCAAGCUCCACUCUUAAGUACUUAGACUUAAUUUUUCCUUGCUUUUCCUUUCUUUCCCUGCUUACUGCAGGGGGGUUGGGACUAGAUGACCUUUAGCGGUCCCUUCCAACCCAAGACAUUCUAUGAUUCUAAUGCCAAGGACAGGACAUACGCAGAGGGGGUUUUCCCCCACCUCGAUUCACUUCACUCACUGGGAUAAACCAGCACAGCAUACAAACUAGCUGUUUAUAUGUUUCAUUGCUGUGCUCAUAGCAUCUGCCUACCAUUAGCAUUUAAUUGAGCGUUACUACAGAAACAACGCAGGCAGGUUUCCACAGCAGGGCAACGUCACCCUGAACACCCACUGCAGCAGGCAGGGCACAGGCAGGGCACAGGCAGGGGAGAAA